GAGUUCGAUCCUGGCUCAGAUUGAACGCUGGCGGGAUGCUUUACACAUGCAAGUCGAACGCAGCACGGACUUCGGUCUGGUGGCGAGUGGCGAACGGGUGAGCAAUGUACUGGAACGCCUAAAGUAGCGGGGGAUAACUACGCGAAAAGCGUAGCUAAUACUGCAUGGCCGGCCCUUCGGGGAAAGCGGGGACCUUCGCCCCUGCACUAUUAGAGCGGCCGAUGACGGAUUGGGGCUAGUUGCGGGGUAACGGCUCACCAAGGCGACGAUCCGUAGCUGGUUUGAGAGGACGACCAGCCACACUGGAUCGAGACAUCGCCCAGACUCCUACGGGAGGCAGCAGUGGGGAAUUUUGGACAAUGGGGGAAACUUCUGAUCCAGCCAUCCCGCGUGUGCGAUGAAGGCCUCGGGUUGUAAAGCACUUUUAUGGUGGGAGGCAGAAACGGCACGGGAUAGUAUUACCUCGUGCGAACUGACGGUACCUGCAGAAUAAGCACCGGCUAACUACGUGCCAGCAGCCGCGGUAACACAGGGUGCAAGCGUUAAUCGAACAUUGGCGCAAGCGUGCAGGCGGUUCGGAAAGAACAUGAAAUCCCAGAGCUUAACUUUGGAACUGCAUUUUUAACUACCGAGCUAGAGUGUGUCAGAGGGAGGUGGAAUUCCGUACAAAGAGUGAAAUGCGUAGAUAUGCGAGGAACACCGAUGCAUGAAAGCAGGCUCUUAGAUGAAGACUGAUGCUCACGGCACGAAAGCGGGGAGCAAACAGGAUUAGAUACCCUGGUAGUCCACGCCCUAAACGAUGUCAACUAGCUGUUGGGGCCUUUCGGGCCUUGGUAGCGCAGCUAACGGGUGCGGAAGCUGACCGCCUGGGGAGCACGGUCGCAAGAUUAAAACUCAAAGGAAUUGACGGGGACCUGCACAAGCGGUGGAUGAUGUGGAUUAAUUCGAUGCAACGAAAAACCUUACCUACCCUUGACAUGUCUGGAAUCCCGAAGAGAUUGGGAGUGCUCGCAAGAGAACCGGAACACAGGUGCUGCAUGGCUGUCGUCAGCUCGUGUCGAGAUGUUGGGUUAAGUCCGCAACGAGCGCAACUCUGUCAUUAGUUGCUGCUGAAAGGGCACUCUAAUGAGAUCACAAGACAAACCGGGAGGAAGGUGGGGAUGACGUCGCCUAAGUCCUCAUGGCCCCGGCGGGCAGGCUUCACAUCGGUCACAAUGGUCGGGACAGUGGUCACAACCCGCGAGGGGGAGCCAAUCCAGAAACCCGAUCGUGAAUCCGGAUCGCAGUCUGCAACUCGACUGCGUGAAGUCGGAAUCGCCAGUAAUCGCAGAUCAGCAUGUCGCGGUGAAUACGUUCCCGGGUCUUGUACACACCGCCUGUCACACCAUGGGAGUGGGUUUUAACAGAAGUAGUUAGCCCAACCGUAAGGAGGGCGAUUACCACGGCAGAUUCAUGACUGGUGGCAGAGCGUAACAAGGUA
rnacentral:rRNA from 1 species